rnacentral:rRNA from 1 species
GAGUUUGAUCUUGGCUCAGGAUGAACGCUGGCGGCGUGCUUAACACAUGCAAGUCGAACGAAGAGAGAUUAGCUUGCUAAUUGAACUUAGUGGCGGACGGGUGAGUAACGUGUGGGCAACCUACCUUAUACAGGGGAAUAAUCACUGGAAACGGUGACUAAUACCGCAUAAUAUUGCGAUAAGGCAUCUUAUUGCAAAGAAGGAGCAAAUCCGGUAAAAGAUGGGCCCGCAUCUGAUUAGCUAGUUGGUGAGAUAACAGCCCACCAAGGCAACGAUCAGUAGCCGACCUGAGAGGGUGAUCGGCCACAUUGGGACUGA